GGAAGGGCUCCCCCUGCAGGUAGUCGUGGACAGACCUGGCUCGGAGGGAACAGGCAGACCUGGUGCCCCGCUAUCUGUCUCUCUGUGGCUGAAACCCACACACAGCUGGUGGCAGGGCUGAUACUGCAGGACUGGAUCCCUCCCUCCCCAGACUCGGGGCCAGGGGGCACUUACUGGACACAGGCAGCGAAGACGUCCUUACAGGGCUGCUUAAGGAGCUUCUCCUCCGUCUGCGAGGCCAGCUCCCUGCCGACUUGCGUGAUGAAGCCUGGAGACUGGAGGGAGAGAGAGCAGAGGCUCUGCGAGGAGGUGCUAUGACUUGGUUCACCUCACUGGAGGGUCAAGCAAUUUGCUCCAGGUCACCUGAACAGUGGUGGCAGAGAGAGGAUUUGAACCCUGGCUCCCAGGACACCCCGAGACUCAGCCUCAGCCCUCAGAAGUCCAGGGCACUGUGAGAGGUGCUGGGCAGAGGUGGUAAGGCUGGGGGGACCUUACCACAGGGCAGUCACAGGUCUGGCCAUUGGACGCUGCCCAAAGCCCCCAUGGGGUGGCGGAGCUGUGAUGGUGGCAUCUGCUCCAACCCGCAUGGGUGUGAACACAGACUCCGUCUCCACAGGGAGAGUCCUGUGAUUCCAACCAAACGCCCUUUCAAGUCGCUCCAGGAAGUGACGCUUUUGCCAAUAAGGGGACCAGAAACUAUGGGCCAGCUUGUGGGGGCUGCUAUAUCCAAACUCGCCAGCAGGGGGAGCCACUGCCCCAAAGGCCUUUCUUUGAGACCUGUGGUCAGUAGACAGAACGGAACUGAAUCCACUCCUCCCCUCCAGGCCAAAGUGCUGGGUCGGCUCCCCCAGUGAGGGCCCCCCAAGGUGCAUCACAUGAGAGAAGCAACCCCCACCCACACACAUCCCACUGCACCUACCAUAUUCCAGGGUCCCAGCAACCACAGUCCCUGAGACUCCCAAUAAAAUGGUUUAAAAGAAGAAAGAG